GUGCACAUCUGUUUAAGCAUGUCCGAAUUCCAGAAUGAGAAGCCUCUGAACCAUCGGCUUUACUUCGUAUUAUUGCAAAAAUCAAUGACUGAAUAUAAUGUAUUUCCUCCUAUGUUAGUUUUUCUUUAUUAAUAAAUUAGGGGAAGGCUUCCUUCCUCAAUUGCAAAAAACAAUAAUUACCGUAUGAAGUGACAAACAAGCAAUUUCUUUUGGUUUUUUUCCCCCGGAUUCCAUUCAGUUACGGGAGGCCCCGUACAGCACAAAACAAGCCUCAGAUAUUACUCCCGAGCUAGGAACGUUCCGAGUAUCUCUACCCCUUUAAUCAUGUAAGGAGGAAGCAUUUUGUUUACACCACAUGCCUCCAACCAGCAGUAAUAAGUACGUGCUAUCACAUGCAAAAGGUUGUGGUUGCUUCACAUUAGUGGUUGAUUGGAACUAAGCAACCGCCCUAUUAAAUUUGUCACGUGAAAUGAUCAAAGAUGGGGGAAAAGUGAGAUUCUUAAACUCGAUCAAAUUUCUAGGUCUUACAACUAACUUUUGGAAGAAUAAACAAUUACAUCAUUCAAAAACAAACAUGAAUUCUAAAGUUUAUGGCCAUACUAAAUAAUAAGAAAAGGAUAUAUAACGUAAGAAAUAUGUCCAUCAUGAAAUCUUCUUCUUCUACUUCUUUUGUGGGUUGGGGGAGUGGGUUGUAAAAUGAAAUCAUUACUAGAAUCUUUGCUUUUGUAACUUCUUAAUGAACUGGAAAGAACGAAGGAAUUGAACUAUGAUGUGGAAUCACAAAGAAGGAAGAAAGACAACAUUUGAGAAAGGGAGAAAAUGUAGAUGAUUGUUAACCUGAAAUAUUUCCAAUAUGUGCAGAAAACUUAAGGAUUUAAAUUGUUCAGGUCAAUAAGAUUGUCAAGAGAUAAAGGAAAAGAUAACUCCACCAAGCAUCUUAUAGCACUAAAAAUGGGCAACUAUAUGUACAACAUAAUAAGAUAAAGUGUAAUGCAAUAACAUUUGAUACAUGAGAUAAUUUACGGCAUGUUCUUUUGUAGAUAAAUAUAAUGUGAAAGUUAGUCAAUUUUCUCAUUGAUCAACUUAUCUAUAUUCUUGGGCUUUUCAAGAUGGAUAAGUUAUUUUUCCAUAAUAGAUAAUAUUUAACUAUUAAAUAGGAAAAAAUCUUACCCACCUAAAGGGUGGCUAAAUUAUUUUUCCAUCAACCGAAAAAAUAAAUUUUUUAAUUCCUUCCUAAAAUACCCUUAACAUUACAAUAAUAUAAUAUAAUAUAGUAUAUCAUAAUAUAAUAUAAUAUUUAUAUAAUAUAUUAUAAUAAUAUAAUAAUAUAAUAUAUUAUUAUAUAUAAUAAUAUAUAAUAUAUUAUAUUAAUAGAAGAUAUUAAUAUAAUAUUAUAAUAUAAUAUAUUAUAAUAUAAUGUAUCAUAUUAUACUAUUAUAUAUAAUAAUAUUUAUAUAAUAAAAGAUAUUAUGAAAAAUAUAGAUAGAUCUUAAUAACUUAUCCAAAAAACUAGUAAUGCAAAAAAAUAUGAGUAACAGAUUCUCAAACUAUUUUUCAAUACAUAAAAAAAUAUGGAUAAAUUAUUUUUCUAUCUAUAUAUUGCCUGAAAAAUACUUAUUCAGAAAAAUACAGAUUCUUAGUUAAAUCUUUUACCCUCAAAAGAACAAACUCUUAAGGAUUUAACUUGUUCAAUUCCAUAAGAUUGUCAAGAGAUAAAAAAUCAUAACGAUGAUAUGCAACUUAUAGCUCUAUGAAAAGACAACCAUGGGUGCACCAUGGUAAAACAAAAUGCAUAUUAAUGGCAUUGUUCAUGUUGAUGUAUUUUAAUGUGAUGGACAACCAAUGGUAAUCACAAUGCAAUCAAAAGUGGAUGAAAAAAAAGUAAAAUGUAAUACAGCUAAGCCAGGAAUUUGAGAAAUUGGACACAGUUUCAUAGCACUCAUUAAUGGAUCUUCGUCAAAGUUUUGGAACAUAUCAUUGUCAAAUUAUCUCAUCUAAAUUCUUCUUUGUCGGUACUAUUUCAUGUUAUUAAAUCUAUUAAUAUAAUUAUGCCUCACAUAAAUAUCAAGUUCAAGCAAUUUCACACAAAUAAUACAACUUACUUGCCAAUAUUUUGAAACACAACAAUCAAUGCAACUAUUCUCACCCAUAUAGAGC
rnacentral:lncRNA from 1 species